rnacentral:rRNA from 1 species
CCUACGGGAGGCAGCAGGCGCGCAAAUUACCCAAUCCUGACACGGGGAGGUAGUGACAAUAAAUAACAAUACUGGGCGCUUUAGUGUCUGGUAAUUGGAAUGAGUACAAUCUAAUCCCCUUAACGAGAAACCAUUGGUGGGCAAGUCUGGUGCCAGCAGCCGCGGUAAU